GCGAGCAGAACCCCCUUCCUUAUCCGCAUUGUCGUCCAUCCCAAUGACAGAGAUCCUACCAAGGCUUUUCAAAUUGCCCAGAAUGCUUUGCAUCUCAGAGGGUUCGUAUUGGGUGCUCGACCAGAGCAAGACAUCAGGAUUGUGCUGCUGGGGAAAACCGGAGGAGGUAAAAGCAGUGCUGGAAACACCAUCUUCGGACAAGAUGAUGUGUUUUU